GUGCUUGCUUUGGCAACACAUAUACUAAAAUUGGAAUGACAGAAAGAAGGUUACUAUGAUCUUUGUGUGAGGAUGACAUGCAAAUUUCACUGGAAUGACAUAUUCAA